rnacentral:rRNA from 1 species
AACGAACGCUGGCGGCAUGCCUAACACAUGCAAGUCGAACGAGACCCCUGACUUCGGUUGGCGGGUCUAGUGGCGCACGGGUGCGUAACGCGUGGGAAUCUGCCCUUGGGUUCGGAAUAACUCAGAGAAAUUUGAGCUAAUACCGGAUGAUGACGAAAGUCCAAAGAUUUAUCGCCCAGGGAUGAGCCCGCGUAAGAUUAGCUUGUUGGUGGGGUAAUGGCCUACCAAGGCGACGAUCUUUAGCUGGUCUGAGAGGAUGAUCAGCCACACUGGGACUGAGACACGGCCCAGACUCCUACGGGAGGCAGCAGUGGGGAAUAUUGGACAAAUGGGCGCAAGCCUGAUCCAGCAAUGCCGCGUGAGUGAUGAAAGGCCUUAGGGUUGUAAAGCUCUUUUACCAGGGAUGAUAAAUGACAGUACCUGGAGAAUAAGCUCCGGCUAAACUCCGUAGCCCAGCAGCCGCGGUAAAUCUGUAGUCGU